UAUAUGUCACAUUUUGUCAUCGAUCCAGCCAUAUUAUUCACAGGGCUCUUUCUUAUUCUGUGCUUGUUGCUUUCUGUCUAUAGAGCCUUAGAUAAUUUGCUUAAUCUACUUGCCAUUUUUCUCACCUUUAAAAUCAUGUCAUUUUCUCAGUAUCUAGCAACUGUAUCAAAAGGAGAUGAUUCAUGAAAAUAAACAGCUUUUUCCACCAAAAAAAAUGCAACAUAAGCAAUUCUAAUCAAUGCUAUUAUUAGUGGUUACUCGUCCCCUUUCUCCCUGAACAUAAGGGACAAAAUGGUUGAUGUUUAUUAAACCCGGAACUUCAGGGAAAAAACCCUGAACGUCAGGGCCUAAGUGCUAAGACUGCAAUGUAAGCAAGAAAUAUCAUGGUUUUGUAAGCAAAUUCUCAGCCUUGAAGGCAAGACUCCUCGGAGUUACAGAAUGGGUGGGAGUUUUGGUUCUUCAUUUCACUUGGAGGCCAGGACUGUAGGGGGCAGGGUAACCUAGGUACAGUUUCCAAGUGUUUUGGAGUACUGUAUUUCUAGACCACGCCAGGGCAAAGGACAUGCGAGUCUCACACAGAGAGCCACAGGACAAGGAAUGACUGUAUAAUCAGAGAUAAGGAGUCCAAUUCUGUGUCUUUUGCUCCCUUUCUCUGAAAUAAGACAACUAGUACAACUCCAGUGGGGAAUGCUGCACUCAUUCUCUGGCAAAUCAUAUACCAUGAAGCUCUAGUCAACUUUAAAACUCUCACAUCAACAUAUAAGAAAAGAGAGGGUUGUUUUGGUCUUGGAAAUAAAAGCAGCUUCACUCAAUCAUGUUAUUUAUUAGAUGUAAAGAAAAUAGGAAUCAUAUGUAGAAAAUGCCCAUACACAGAAAAGGGGUUCAGAGAAGUAUAUUAUUGCGGCGUUACAUCCUGCAAUGAGUAGAGACAAGAGAUGUAUUCUGGUAGAUGUGGUUUUGUUACUAUGGGAGUUUGCUGCUGAAGAUCUGGGAUGUUUUAACAGGCUGCGAAACUAUCUAGACCACAUUGCUUACUUGCAAAGGUAGAUUAGCAUGCUCAGUCUUUAUUGCAUUUUGCUAACUUGACAAAGGUUAGAAACUACACUUCUCAGACUCCCUUGCAGCUAGAGUUUUAGAUGUGACUUUUAAAAUAACUGUCAGAGACAGUGAGAAGGAAGUGUCUGUGUCACUAAAAUCAAACACCAGGUUGAAUAGAGGCAGUAGCAGAAGCUGUGUUAUCUUGCUGCUGUGGACCCCCGGAAAGUAAAAAUUGCAACAGCCAUGUCCUGAUCCCCAUUGUGGAGCUAGUAAGGAUUCCAGAUUCCAUGGAUCCUUAGUGAGCCAGGUGCCUCAACUUUUUUUCUGGUAAUUACUAGGUCCUAUUUAUCAUUCAGCCCUCAGAUACGAAAAUUAAAAACUGUCAUCUAUGUGGCCAAGAGUCUGAGACACAGAGAAUCAGGUGGAAGUGUUAAGAAGCAACAAGGAAUGGGGAGAGUGAAUGUGUUGAGAACCUUUACUACAAUCACAGGUUGUGCUUAGGGUUCCGUAAGUAAGAUGGAGAGAAUUGGUUUGACCCAUGAGGGAGGACAUUUUUCAUACAAGUAGAUGAUUUUACUGUAUUCAGUAUAGAUGUUUUUCUACCCUCAACUUUCAUCAUUUCCAGUGAGGAGAAAAAUACUCUAAGUGCCACAUCCAUCUGGGACAAAAGAGAUGCCACCGGAAUAUGAAGAGUGUGGUGUCCUGCGAGAACAUGGAAAAUAUCUAAUGACAAUGUCAUGCACUGACAGGACAAGAAGACCAUGAUGAGCGGAGGUGACACGUCAGGGUCAUCAGGAAGAUGCUCAGAAGCUGACCAUCUUCCUUCACCUCUCUGUGGAAUUUCCAGCCUGCUUCUCAGUAAGCUCCUUCUGAUCUCAGUGCACUUCCUAAACCUCCUGAAUUUUCAGAGCUCAAACAACCCUUGUGUAUAAGGUGAGCUAGAUGUGUUUUCUGAGACAAACAUCUUUUAUCACUUAUAAACAAAACUACACAUGUAUUUAUACAUAUAGUAUAAAUCUGACCAGCACCGUCUUUAAAAAUCCAAGCAUAGUUUCAACAAACUUUGAAAUAUAGAAAAC